UACGUAGGGUGCAAGCGUUGUCCGGAAUUAUUGGGCGUAAAGCGUCUGUAGGUGGCUUUUUAAGUCCGCCGUCAAAUCCCAGGGCUCAACCCUGGACAGGCGGUGGAAACUACCAAGCUGGAGUACGGUAGGGGCAGGUGGAAUUCCGGGUGUAGCGGUGGAAUGCGUAGAGAUCCGGAAGAACACCGGUGGCGAAGGCGGCCUGCUGGGCAGUAGCUGACGCUGAGGCGCGACAGCGUGGGGAGCAAACAGG
rnacentral:rRNA from 1 species